GGCUGGUUAGCUCAGUCAGUAGAGCGUAGCGCUAACAACACUAAGGUCCUGGGUUCAAUUCCCGGUCGGUCC
rnacentral:tRNA from 1 species